AUUGAACGCUGGCGGCAGGCCUAACACAUGCAAGUCGAACGGCAGCACAGAAGAGCUUGCUCUUUGGGUGGCGAGUGGCGGACGGGUGAGUAAUGUCUGGGAAACUGCCCGAUGGAGGGGGAUAACUACUGGAAACGGUAGCUAAUACCGCAUAACGUCGCGAGACCAAAGUGGGGGACCUUCGGGCCUCACACCAUCGGAUGUGCCCAGAUGGGAUUAGCUAGUAGGUGGGGUAAUGGCUCACCUAGGCGACGAUCCCUAGCUGGUCUGAGAGGAUGACCAGCCACUCUGGAACUGAGACACGGUCCAGACUCCUACGGGAGGCAGCAGUGGGGAAUAUUGCACAAUGGGCGCAAGCCUGAUGCAGCCAUGCCGCGUGUAUGAAGAAGGCCUUCGGGUUGUAAAGUACUUUCAGCGGGGAGGAAGGCGGUGAGGUUAAUAACCUCGCCGAUUGACGUUACCCGCAGAAGAAGCACCGGCUAACUCCGUGCCAGCAGCCGCCGUAAUAC
rnacentral:rRNA from 1 species